UCCUCAUCGUUCUCCUCUGCGCACUCAUAUGUGUUUUGGUUCUCAACUCUGCUAAUUACUUGUGUUUUCUCCCAAUGGGUAACCAGAGGCUAUAAAUUGCAUGAGAGACACUAACACAAAGUACAAUCAAAAGAGUCAAGGUUCAUAUGGAGUAUUUGGGUUAUCUUUCACAUCCAUAGAAUAAACACAAAAGUAUGGACACAAUAAGGCUGAACAAUGGGUUAAUAAUAUGACCAAAGCUGCAGAGAAUGAACCGCCAGAAGUAGAAUCAGAGGGUCAACCUUAUAGGCUUGGAUUGGGUGCAAAGGUCUCACGCCAAGCCAAAUUUGGACCUUCAAACGACCCACUUGAAAAGAAACUACGUGCUAAGUUAAACACUGGAAAAAGAAAAGCUGCUAUUAUUGCCAAGGAAUAUACUCCAUCUGCUAGAGAUGGAGGUGAUAAUGAGGAUGGCGAUUUAGACAGCAGAACAAAUGCAUUUGACAAGAAGCGAGCAAGAGCUCCUAUGACUGUAUGUUCACAAGCAAAUAAAAAACAUAAGUAACUAUUUUUCCGUGUCUGUGGAGUCCUCGAGGGUUCUGUCUCUUUUGUUAUCUGUCACAUAUACUUUUUUU